AGCCUUCCCCUUUGUUUCCCUCAGUGAUGCUAGGGUCUUGAAACUCAGCCCAGUACAAUCAUUGGUGUUUGAGCUGGCAACUGGGGGUCUAAUUGCCAACUAAGAUGGAUAUCUCUGGCUCUGGAGAAACAGCUGGGAUAGGACAUUGUUGCUUCUCUGCGGCAGGCAGCUCAUGGUGCAAAUGCCGAGUUUGGACCAAUAGGAUUCAAACCUUGGUGGCUGCCUCCAGCAUGCACUCUUUGCACUGCUCUGCUUCCUCCUGCCACUCUGGUGACAUUUGCGUGGAGGUAGGGUUUCUCUGUGCAGUCCUGGCUGUCCUGGAACUCACUCUGUAGACCAGGCUGGCUUAACGUUGAUGAAGACACCCAAAAAGAAGAUGGAACACCGGAGUGCUUUUGCCAUCAAACUUAUUCGUGCACUGUGUAAGAGUACAGAAGAGAUGCCCUUCCCUAAUAUCAGGAGACAUAGAGCUGUGAGAGGAUACUCACAUGAGGUCUGGAGGAGGGGAGAGAUAAGGGAGGCAUAAAAGAAACAUAAGCGGCAGAGUCUUCAGGUAAGCAAGUGAAAAAUGGAGUCGACUCUUAGAAAUUCACAAAGGCGCAGGAUAUUCUGCCUUACAGGAACACAGGCUUAGUCAUUAUGUGAGCUGUGCUACAGGCCACACGCAAGACAGACAGGCACUUGUGACAGGGUUCACAGAGAUGCUUCGUAGGGGAGGAUUUUAGUUAAUGUGUGACUGUAACAAAGCUGCCUUGGACCUGGGUGCUAGUGUGGCUGGCUGUGUUCCUACCCCAUCACAGCCCUAUCUGUUAGAGACUCAUGACCUGAAAGGCCUGGGUUUUCCAACAACCAGCACACUUGAAGAGCCUGGUCACUGUCUUUUAUAUGCCAGACCUCACGGCAGUGUGACAGCUUCUCAAUUGGGUACCUUAAAUAUAGUAUGUGUGAUUGGGAUCUCAGAGUAGCAAGAGACAGACAAGGAGAGAAUAUUUAUUUUUAAUGGACAGAAUAGACAAAGCAAUGGUCACAAUGCUCUGACUUUCUUUGGUACUUCCUUGCUAUGUUUGCAGAAGUUUACUAAACUCUCACUUGAUCCGUGUAGGCUAAUGAACAAGAGCCUACCUGGAAUCAUAAAUACAGGAUCACAGCCCUUCAAACAACGUCUGGGCUUGACCCAGCUUACAAAGCCAGUGUCCCUCAGAUAAAGGGGAGACCAGGUCUCCUUCAGGAAGAACCCACACAUGUUUUACUGUUAACCACUGUACAACUAUUCUUCAAAUGAACCUCUGGUGGUUGGAACCUCAUAGGCUCAUAUGUUUGAAUGUUUGGUUCCCAGCUGAUGGAGCUGUUUCUGGAAGGAUUAGUAGGUGUGUCUUUGUUGAAGGAGGUGUGUCACUUGGGGUGAGCUUUGAGAUUUCAGAAGUCCACGCCUAUCUCUCUUGAUUUUCUUGUGUUUUGCAAAGUGUUUCAGGUUUCACAUGAGGCCUCUUCUGGAGGUGAGUCUGUGCAGAGUGGUAGAUGCAAGUCUACUUUCAUUUCUCUAUAUGCAGACACCCAGCUCUCCCAGCCUCAUUCAUUAAAGAUCGAAGAAGCCAGAAGCCAUCUUUUCUCCAGGCAGUUUAUUUUAUUUAUUAAUUUUCUAUCUACCUACCUACCUACCUAUCUAUCUAUCUAUCUAUCUAUCUAUCUAUCUAUCUAUCUAUCUAUCUAUCUAUCAUCUUUGGCAUUUUUGUCAAAUAUCAAGUGGCUGUAGUUACACUUAUUCAUGUUUGGGUCUUCUAUUUUGUUUCAUUUGUUUACAAGCCUGCAUCUGAAUCAGGCAACCCAGUAGAAGAAGAAAGGGCCCUACAGUAGGCAAAAAGGAUCAGGAAGAGCCCUCGCUCUCACUGUUAGGAUUCCUACAAGAAUGCCAAGUUACACAGCCAUAACGUAUAUGCAGAGGACCUAGGUCAGAGCCCUCCAGGAUCCCUGAUCUCCGAGUCCCCAUGAGUCCCAGUCACUUGAUUCUGUGGGUCAUGUAUUCCUGGUGUCCCGGAUCCCUCUGGUUCCUCCAGUCUGUGCUCCCCUUCCUCUGCAAGUCUCCCUGACCGCCACCUAACGUUUGGCUGUGGGACACUGCAUUUGCUCCCAGUGGUUGCCAGAUAAAGCCUCUCUGGUUUCUGAUGACAAUUCUGCUAGGCCCCAGUCCUGGUACACUAGGCAGGUCAUACUGUAGGUUGAAAGUUUUAUGUCUGGGUUGGUGUCCCAAUCCCUCCACUUGAGGCCUUGCCUGGUAAUAGAAGACAGCUGAUUCAGGGUCCCUCUCCCCACUACUAGGAGUCUUUGCUAGGGCUAUGCUCAUAGAUUCUAUGGAGUUUCCAUUGCACUAGUUUUCCACCUCACUCCCAAAAUGACUCCCCCAAAUUCCAGUCAUUUCUCCCAGUCAUUUCUCCCAGUAAUUUCUCUAGCUCUCCAUCUGAUUCCUCCUGUUCCUAACCCCACCAACCUCAGUCCACCUGAAAAAUCUCUUCUAGCUCCCUCCCCAGGGAGAUCCUUUCCCACCAUUAAGCUUUCAUUGUUACUUAGCCUCUCAAGGAUCCUGGACUGCAGCAUGAUUCCUUUGCUUUAGAGCAGAUACCCAUUUGCAUGUAAGUAUGUCUGUGAUGGUGUGUGUCUAGUCUUACUGUAGCUUGUUAUGCUGUUUUCAUUAAUACUCCUGGGAGGCUUGCUCUUUUCUAAGGGGACACAGAGGUGGGCAGUGGAUCUGGGGGCCAGGGGAGUUUGGAUGGAGAAACUAGGGGGUGGUGCCAUCCCUGGGCUCUAUAAGAAAGCAGGCUGAGCAGGCCAGGGGACGCAGUCCAGUAAGCAGCACCCUCCAUGUCUCUGCAUCAGUUCCUGCCUCCAACUUCCUGCCCUGUGCGUGUUCCUGUCCUGACUUCCUUUGGUGAUGAUCAGCAACAUGGAAGUGUAAGCCGAAUAAACCCUUUCCUCCCCGACUUGCUUCUAGGUCAUGAUGUUUUGUGCAGGAAUAGAAACCCGGACUAAGACACCAUAUGUAAAGAGGGAUGCUUUGACUUCUUUGCCAGAGAUGGGCAAGCCUGUCACAUUCCUGAUCUAAAGGAGCCAUUCAUCAAUGAGUUGUUUAAUUUCCAUGAGCAUGUAUAUUUAAGAGAUUUGUUUGCUGUCAAUCUAAGUUUUGUCAAAUUAUGUAUGGUCGAUAGGAUACUUAGAGUUCUGCUUCUUCAAUAAAAUAACCCUAAUGUUUAUUCUUUUUUUAAUUGAUCAAUGCCACAGCUGAUGUGGGUGGUGGAAAUCCUACGGACAAGAGCAAAGACAGCACCUUGUCCACCAGAGUCCAUGGCAGUGUGCUCCUGAACAUGCCACUAAAGCAAACCACACGUCGUGGCCAGCUUUCCCUCCCUUAGAGGAUGCUGUGUAUAAUAAACAGCAUCCAGACUGAGGAACUACAACAAGGAACAGCAAGGCUUUUUGUUCCCAAUUACAUUCAGAGGAAGCCUCACCAUGUCUAUGGAUGCCCAGCAGGCUCUUCACCUGUGGCUCAAACCUCAAUCAGCUUUAGGGCAGCUACGAACAGACAGUCCCUCUGCCACACCUCAUGGAAGUCGUCUGCCUGUCCAGCUGAACACGGAUUUGUUUUGAAAUGACACGGAGAGUUACAUAAAGAAAAACUUGUUCUGACAAGAAAAGACUUGAGGAGAUAAAAAUCCUCCUGGUCUCGGGGUUCUCCAGAUCUCUUCCCACAGCAUCCUUGUCUCCCUGAGGAAAUGAGUAGUAUUUACAGUAUUCUGCUGCUAUGCUCAACAGAUUCUUGUAUGUACAGUUCUCACCUCUUUUCUCAGAACCUUCUCCGGUGAAUGCCACCUUUGUCUUGCAGGGCAGCUGAAGUGAGAGAUGAAACAGACUCUUUUAUAGGGGCUCACUACUCACUUUAAGCCCAGGGCUUCUGGCAAAGUGUGACGUACUUGUUCUUGGAUACCAGAGAUGGCAGACUCCAAAUCUUGUCAUCUUCAAUUGCAAUGGGGAACAAUUUGGCUUCAAAUAAUUUUUCCAACAUACAUGAAGUCUGAAGGAAUUUUUGGAGAGCUCAACAGUAAUGCUUUUCUCUAGAGAUGAUCGUCCUUUAUAGCUUGGUCAUGGGAGGUUCAUAAGGGAGCCUCCUGGACAUGGUACUAUCAACGUGCACGAGAGGUCCACUCUGGUUUGGAAACCCACUGUCUUCUUCCUGGCGCUAGCUUUUGCUAAUCCAGAGAACCUAACUUCCCAGACAUAAGGUGGCAGGUGAGCCUGAUGGAUAGUUCCUGGCCGAAGCAGCUCCUGUCUUGUGUCAGACAUCUACAGCAGACAUGGAGGAGUCCUAGCUGAGCAGCCCAAGAACAUGAGCAGAAGAUAGGGGUGUGCAGGUCUCCCGCACUGCCCCCUUGACACAUAUGCUACCUGGGGGUUUCUCCACGUUAUCUCACAGAUUUUCACAAAAUAAGUGUCCAUAUUCCAGGAAGGCUAAGGCUGGAAACUAUUGCCUGUUGCACACAUUGCUUCCUAGCUGGCUGGAGAAUGUCCUGCUAGUCACUGUGACAUGCUUUUUCCGGGAGAAAUGAGAAACCUUUUUCAUCAUGGAAGAAGAAGAACUAGACAUUUCCAUGGACAAGAAUUCAUUACAUCACUGCUCCUUUGACAGACAGGGCUGGAAGCCCUGGGGUGCACAGAGCCUCAGGCUAGCAGCCAGCUCACCAACUCUCAUGCUUUCUGUUUCUCCACAAAAUGAAGACACAAAAAGAACUUAGUUUCAUGGACAUGGCAUGAAAUGAAAAGUCAGGCUUCAUUUGGCACUUUGUUUGGGUCCCCAAAUAACAAAAUAACUACUUAAGAAAUGUAACUCACACAAAAAGUAACUCAUAUAAUCAGUUAACUGUAUGUUGCAAUUCAGAGCUUCCGGUCCCUGGCAUUACACCCUUCCACACAGGGAAUGGGCAUGUGUCCAGAGCUGCACUCAGGAUUUGCCUGCACCUUGGAAGCCAGAUAAGGAAAUGUUCAGUGCCUAAGGCUGGCCUGGAGAUGAGGGCCCUAGGUGGGCUGGGGAUGCACACGAGCUGGCACGAUGGAGGUUUCUGAGAAAACGAGGGACUCAGGUCAGGUGCAUUUGGUGUCACGAUUGUGCUGACAAUAUGCAGCUAAGCGGGCUCAGACCUGCCCUUAGGCUGUGUUUCUGGGGGCGACAGCUCAGCACCUAAGGACUGCUCUCUCUCACACAGACGACAGCAUUCCUUCACCUCCAAGUUCUUCAAGAGAAGGUGGAUUGAAUUUCACAUCACUUUAAUGUUUUGAUUAAAGUCUUCAUCUGAGAUUUUAAAAAUUAAGGGAGCUUUGCUGAGGAGAAAACCCUCUAGCCUAGGAUCCAUCUGUUAUUUAAGCACAUGGUGAACUUGACCAAACAGUUGAUGUCUCAAUCUCCACGUUGCUCAGGGCCUCUUGGAGCAGCUAGAACACCAUUUCAGGGAGUGAGGCUACAGGAGAUAAGGAGAGGACAUGCCCAGGGGAAAGAAAUCUAGCUCUGGACUUUAAAAGCAAAAAGUUGUUUCCUGGUUGCAGGUAAAAGCAUCUGGAACAGGUGGUAUAGCUGAUGUUGGUUAUCAACCUACAGGGAAAUCAGAGAAAGCUUUCUCUUUUCUCUUGAAGUAAGUGUUUUGUUUUCCUUUUAAGUAUCCAAAGGAAAAGAUCAGCAUCUCUUUCCCGUUUUCCUUGAUUUCCGUGGUAAAAAAGCCACAUGAAUUUAAAAAAUAAAAUUGCCA
rnacentral:lncRNA from 1 species